rnacentral:rRNA from 1 species
GAUGAACGCUGGCGGCGUGCCUAAUACAUGCAAGUCGAGCGAACAGACGAGGAGCUUGCUCCUCGGACGAUUGCGGCGGACGUGUGAGUAACACGUGGAUAACCUACCUAUCAGACUGGGAUAACUUCGGGAAACCGGCGCUAAUACCGGAUACUCUAUUCAACCGCAUGGUUCAAUAGUAAAAGACGGUUUUGCUGUCACUUAUAGAUGCAUCCGCGCCGCCUUAGCUAGUUGGUAAGGUAACGGCGUACCAAGACAACAAUGCGUAGCCGAACUGAGAGGGUGAGCGGCCACACUGUAACAGAGAGACGGUCCAGACGCCUACGGGAGUCAGCGGUAGGGAAGCUUCCGCUAUUGGCGAAAGCGUGACGGAGCAACGCCGCGUGAGUGAGUAAGGGCUUCGGAUCUUAAAACUCUGUUAUUAGUGAAGAACAAAUGUGUAAGUAACUAUGCACGUCGUGAGGGUAGCUAGUCAGAAAGCCACGGCUAACUACGUG